CGGUAACUCAGUCGGUAGAGUAGCGGAUUUUUAAUCCGUUGGUCAGGGGUUCGAAUCCCCUCCGG
rnacentral:tRNA from 1 species